rnacentral:rRNA from 1 species
GGAGCUGUCCUUAGUACGAGAGGACCGGGAUGGACGCACCGCUGGUGUACCAGUUGUUCUGCCAAGGGCAUAGCUGGGUAGCUAUGUGCGGAAGGGAUAAGUGCUGAAAGCAUCUAAG